CUUAUCAACCAUACCACCCUGAGUACACCCGAUCUCUUCUGACCUUGGAAGCUAAGCAGGGUUGGGCCUGGUUAGAACUUGGAUAAAAGAUCACCUGGGAAUACCAGGUGCUGUAUUUC
rfam:Papio anubis isolate 1X1155 chromosome 4, whole genome shotgun sequence.